ensembl:lncRNA
CUGUACUGAAGAGAGAGAAAAGAAUAUGGAGCGUUCAGAGUUCCUCUGAACUUUGUGCGAUUAAGACGUUGUUGUAGUUGCUCUUAUCAAGAGAAGAACAUGAGUAAGUUUUUGAGUGCGCUUGAUGCUGAUGUAGUGGACCUCCCACAGCGUCCCCUGACGUUCACGGACGGACAAGGCGAUGGAAAGAAAACAACAUCGGACCCCGAGGGUCCCAACUGAAGACCCAGUGUGUGACUGGGCCACGGAACCGGCUCUGCUCCAACCCACAGAGGUUCCUCAGGACCAGGUCACGGACGUUGUGACUCAGGCUGAGGAGAAGAUUCAGAAGCUUGUGGUGUCCAAUACUCGGCUCGAGGACAGAGUUAGGGAGCUGGAGGAACUGCUCUGUGAGGCACGCAGAGAUGACCUGAAAAGCAAGGUCUCCCUGACUAAGGCUGAGGAGUCCAUUGCUCAGUGGAAGGUGGAGAAGGCCAACCUGACCAACCAGGUGAAGACACAGCAAGGAAAAGUGCAGUACAUGGAGAACCUCCUCUGUAAGGCUCACAGGUGGUCUGUUGAUCGAAUCAAUGUCGUUCUGGCUGAAGAUGAGGAGAAACCCAGAAGGCUGUAGAGACCAUCGCUCAGUUUGAGGUGGAGAAGUCUGAGUUUCAGAUGAAGAACGAGGAGAUGAAGAAGUGUCUGAUACAGACAGUGGAGUCACUGAAGGUCUCUCUGGCUGAAACUGAGGAGAAACACCAGAAGGCUAUGGAGACCAUCGCUCAGCUUGAGGUGGAGAAGUCUGACCUGAAAGACCAGGUGGAGACACAGCGAGGAACAGUGCAGGACUGUGAUGAGUGACUCACUGCGAUGAGCUAAGAGACAAACAGGCAUACUCUUGGAUCCCAGGAGACGAGUGCUUGAGGCAGAAGGUAGUUGAACAGAAAUGGAUCCCCAGCAGAAUCAACAUGAUGGGGUAUGAGGGGUGAAAAUAAAGUAACAUAAUUUAAUGUGAAGUAAAAAGUCAAGCUGGUCUUAUAUAGGUGAUAAACACUGCCCCCUGGGUUCCCAGUGCCGGUCUUAUAUAGGUGAUAAACACUGCCCCCUGGGUUCCUACAAAGUGCCGGUCUUAUAUAGGUGAUAAACACUGCCCCCUGGGUUUCCUACCCAGUGCCGGUCUUAUAUAGGUGAUAAACACUGCCCCCUGGGUUUCCUACCCAGUGCCGGUCUUAUACAGGUGAUAAACACUGCCCCAUUACUUUUGGCAUGUGUGUUUUGUUAACAAGUCAAUAUUACUGACAAACCAGGAAGCAUGCACUCAGGCUUUGAGCUCGUGCUUCGGGUUACGUCACCACGCCACGCCGUUUUUCUUUCCAGCUUGAUUUUAACUUCACAUCUUUUCACCCUUCAUACCUCAUAAGCUUCAUGGAUAAAUACAAGCAAGAAAUCAAACACAAAGACAGAAAGAACUCUUAAGUGUAUUUACGAAAAAUGAAAUGCAUUUGUCAUAAAGAAAUACUAAAUAACUAAAUAAAUGUGUGUCUAUGGAACAGUU